GAGCGGCGAACGGGUGAGUAACACGUGAGUAACCUGCCCCUGACUCUGGGAUAAGCCCGGGAAACUGGGUCUAAUACCGGAUACGACACCUCCCGGCAUCGGGUGGGUGUGGAAAGUUUUUUCGGUUGGGGAUGGACUCGCGGCCUAUCAGCUUGUUGGUGGGGUAACGGCCUACCAAGGCGACGACGGGUAGCCGGCCUGAGAGGGCGACCGGCCACACUGGGACUGAGACACGGCCCAGACUCCUACGGGAGGCAGCAGUGGGGAAUAUUGCGCAAUGGGCGAAAGCCUGACGCAGCGACGCCGCGUGGGGGAUGACGGCCUUCGGGUUGUAAACCUCUUUCAGCAGGGACGAAGUUGACGUGUACCUGCAGAAGAAGCGCCGGCUAACUACGUGCCAGCAGCCGCGGUAAUACGUAGGGCGCAAGCGUUGUCCGGAAUUAUUGGGCGUAAAGAGCUCGUAGGUGGCUUGUCACGUCGGGUGUGAAAGCUUGGGGCUUAACUCCAGGUCUGCAUUCGAUA
rnacentral:rRNA from 1 species